AUAGAACGCUGGCGGCAUGCCUAACACAUGCAAGUCGAACGGCAGCACAGUAAAGAUUUCGGUCUUUAUGGGUGGCGAGUGGCGGACGGGUGAGUAAUGCGUAGGAAUCUGUCCUGGAGAGUGGGAUAACCCGAGGAAACUCGGGCUAAUACUGCAUGAUAUCGAGAGAUCAAAGGCAGGGGACCCUUCGGGGCCUUGCGCUCUAGGAUGAGCCUACGUCGGAUUAGCUAGUUGGUGGGGUAAAGGCCUACCAAGGCGACGAUCCGUAGCUGGUCUGAGAGGAUGACCAGCCACACUGGGACUGAGACACGGCCCAGACUCCUACGGGAGGCAGCAGUGGGGAAUCUUGGACAAUGGGGGAAACCCUGAUCCAGCGAUGCCGCGUGUGUAAAGAAGGCCUUCGGGUUGUAAAGCACUUUAGUUGGGGAAGAAAAGUAAUGAGUGAAUAACUGAUUGCUCUGACGGUACCCAAAGAAUAAGCACCGGCUAACUCUGUGCCAGCCGCCGCAGUAA
rnacentral:rRNA from 1 species